GGCUCUAUGGGAAAAGUAGAUAUAGAGUCGGACCUGCCCAGUGAAUAUUUUUUAACGGCCGCGGUACUCUGACCGUGCAAAGGUAGCAUAAUCAUUUGCCCUAUAAUUGAGGGCUAGUAUGAAUGGUUUGACGUGAGCAAAGCUGUCUCUUUUAGAAUAUAUAGAAUUUAACUUACAGGUGAAGAUGCCUGUAUUAGAUUGAUAGACAAGAAGACCCUAUCGAGCUUGAAAAAAAUAUUUAGAGUAAAAUUGCCUUAUGUAAAGGACAUUUAACUAGAUAAUAUUUUGGUUGGGGCGACUGAGGAACAUAAAAAGCUUCCUUUAAUUAAAUAUAUGCUUGCACUAGCAAUGAUCCAAAUAUUAUUGAUUAAAGAAAUUAGUUACCGUAGGGAUAACAGCAUAAUCUUUUUUGAGAGCUCAUAUCGAAAAAAAGGUUUGUGACCUCGAUGUUGGACUAGAGUUUCCUGAAGAUGCAGAAGUCUUUAAGGGUUGGUCUGUUCGACCAUUAAAACUCU
rnacentral:rRNA from 1 species